rnacentral:rRNA from 1 species
UUCCGGUUGAUCCUGCCGGAGGUCAUUGCUAUUGGGGUCCGAUUUAGCCAUGCUAGUUGCACGAGUUCAACUCGUGGCGAAAAGCUCAGUAACACGUGGCCAAACUACCCUACAGAGAACGAUAACCUCGGGAAACUGAGGCUAAUAGUUCAUACGGGAGUCAUGCUGGAAUGCCGACUCCCCGAAACGCUCAGGCGCUGUAGGAUGUGGCUGCGGCCGAUUAGGUAGACGGUGGGGUAACGGCCCACCGUGCCGAUAAUCGGUACGGGUUGUGAGAGCAAGACCCGGAGACGGAAUCUGAGACAAGAUUCCGGGCCCUACGGGGCGCAGCAGGCGCGAAACCUUUACACUGCACGCAAGUGCGAUAAGGGGACCCCAAGUGCGAGGGCAUAUAGUCCUCGCUUUUCCGACUGUAAGGCGGUCGGGAAUAAGAGCUGGGCAAGACGGUGCCAGCCGCCGCGGUAAUACCGGCAGCUCAAGUGAUGACCGAUAUUAUUGGGCCUAAAGCGUCCGUAGCCGGCCACGAAGGUUCAUCGGGAAAUCCGCCAGCUCAACUGGCGGGCGUCCGGUGAAAACCACGUGGCUUGGGACCGGAAGGCUCGAGGGGUACGUCCGGGGUAGGAGUGAAAUCCGUAAUCCUGGACGGACCACCGAUGGCGAAAGCACCUCGAGAAGACGGAUCCGACGGUGAGGGACGAAAGCUAGGGUCUCGAACCGGAUUAGAUACCCGGGUAGUCCUAGCUGUAAACGAUGCUCGCUAGGUGUGACACAGGCUACGAGCCUGUGUUGUGCCGUAGGGAAGCCGAGAAGCGAGCCGCCUGGGAAGUACGUCCGCAAGGAUGAAACUUAAAGGAAUUGGCGGGGGAGCACUACAACCGGAGGAGCCUGCGG